CCUACGGGUGGCAGCAGUGAGGAAUAUUGGUCAAUGGACGAAAGUCUGAACCAGCCAAGUAGCGUGAAGGAUGACUGCCCUAUGGGUUGUAAACUUCUUUUAUAAAGGAAUAAAACGCGUCACGUGUGCCUUUUUGCAGGUACUGCAUGAAUAAGGAUCGGCUAAUUCCGUGCCAGCAGCCGCGGUAAUACGGAGGAUCCGAGCGUUAUCCGGAUUUAUUGGGUUUAAAGGGAGCGUAGAUGGCGUGUUAAGUCUGUUGUGAAAGUUCGGGGCUAAACCGUGAGACUGCAACGGAUACUGGCAGUCUUGAGUACAGUUGAGGUAGGCGGAAUUCGUGGUGUAGCGGUGAAAUGCUUAGAUAUCACGAAGAACACCGAUUGCGAAGGCAGCUUACUGAACUGUUACUGACGUUGAAGCUCGAAAGUGUGGGUAUCAAACAGGAUUAGAUACCCUAGUAGUC
rnacentral:rRNA from 1 species